rnacentral:rRNA from 1 species
AUUGAACGCUGGCGGCAGGCUUAACACAUGCAAGUCGAGCGGGGUGAUGGUGCUUGCACUAUCACUUAGCGGCGGACGGGUGAGUAAUGCUUAGGAAUCUGCCUAUUAGUGGGGGACAACAUCUCGAAAGGGAUGCUAAUACCGCAUACGUCCUACGGGAGAAAGCAGGGGAUCACUUGUGACCUUGCGCUAAUAGAUGAGCCUAAGUAGGAUGAGCUAGUUGGUGGGGUAAAGGCCUACCAAGGCGACGAGCUGUAACUGGUCUGGGAGGAUGAUCAGUCACACUGGAACUGAGACACGGUCCAGACUCCUGCGGGAGGCAGCAGUGGGGAAUAUUGGACAAUGGGGGCAACCCUGAUCCAGCCAUGCCGCGUGUGUGAAGAAGGCCCUUGGGUUGUAAAGCACUUUCAGUGGGGAGAAAGGUCUGGCACCUAAUACGUGUUGGAAUUGAUGGUACCCACAGAAGAAGCACCGGCUAACUCCGUGCCAGCCGCCGCCGUAAAAC